UCAUAUUAAUGGUAAGGAAAAUCCUAGC
rnacentral:sRNA from 1 species